UGGCGGACGGGUGAGUAAUGUCUGGGAAACUGCCCGAUGGAGGGGGAUAACUACUGGAAACGGUAGCUAAUACCGCAUAACGUCGCAAGACCAAAGAGGGGGACCUUCGGGCCUCUUGCCAUCGGAUGUGCCCAGAUGGGAUUAGCUAGUAGGUGGGGUAACGGCUCACCUAGGCGGCGAUCCCUAGCUGGUCUGAGAGGAUGACCAGCCACACUGGAACUGAGACACGGUCCAG
rnacentral:rRNA from 1 species